UCUCUCUCUCUCAGCCCUCUCAUCACCGCCAGCCUCAGGCGUCCUUCUUUCACCACUGCAUGGACACCUCAGCAGCCAUAUGCCAUUAGGGAAGAGCCCACAGGAGCAAUACUCAUAAAUAUUGACUUGGUUUCAACAUAUCCCUCAGGACGUGUUUUAAACAGCAGACGGGUCUGGUUGUCUCAACUGCAGUGGCUCCGGUUUGUUGUGUCUCUUGAUUUAAUAUCAAAGGCAAUCCAUAAAACUUGGAUCCUGUGAACUUUCCAUGGAACGUGAACUGCAUCAUCAUGGACUAUACUGGCUGUACAGCGGGAUGAGAGCUACGGAGUUAAUUAUACCAGAUAGUUUAUUCAAAGUGGACAACAGUCUAAAUAAACUACUUCAGUAUGGUUAGCCGGCCAUGGACCUCAGUCUGAGAGCCACAGAGGACUGUAGAACUCCUCCAUACUGCAUUGAUGACGGUCCCCAACCGCAACGCCAGCGCUUCAACAUUAUUGAGCCAGAUGGCCAUGAAUUUUUUACUCUUUUCUUGGCAAAGAUUGAUUUCUGACUUCAUUCAUUAACAAGAGAAAAUGCACAUUAGGUAUUUAUAUCCAACAACAAGUAGCCUAAGAUUUAGAAAUUAAAAAAACCUAAAACAUAUCUAAUGUAUGCUUUUUAUUUUUUUACUUUUUGCGGUUCAAUUUAAAUUUGAGGUAUCCUGUAUGUGAAAGGCUGACAGGACAAGCUGAAAAUUGUAGCUUGCACAAAGGUUAAGCACAUUAUUUAAGUUAAUGAAAUACUUUGUUAACAACAUUAUUUGCUUGUCAUUUGUGUUUGUUGAUUAUUAAUUUCAUUUCUCAAAGCAAAAACAUGUAGCUUUUGGAAUGUAAGAGUAUAUUUGUUACACUUGGACUAUGUUAAAGAGAAACUUAUGUAAAGUGAAAGCUGACGCAACAGAAAACAGAAAGUCUAAUAGACAAAAACACCCCUCGUCGCUGCUCUUGUCUAAGUGUUUGUAGGUUAAUGUUAAGGAUUUAUUUGAGAACUUAAGGGGAACUCCAGCAAUUUAACACAUCAAAGUCUACAUGUCCUGGGGAGUACAACUGCAUAUGUGUAUACAGUAAAACAUUUUGUGGCUCCAGAGGGAGCUGUGUGAAGUCUGAAAAACACCCUCAAGUAAUGUCACUUGAGUCAGCAUCGGUUGUUGUUGAAGACUAAAAGCAGAGACGUUAUAAGAGGAGACACGCCACUUAAAGCAUUUCGAAUAGAAAAGUUCGUAAGGCCAAGAUGGCGGUUGUAUGACACACAUUCUGCCAUUUCCCCCCAAAGGCCAUUUGUCUGCUUUAUAACAGCCGAACCGGGAAACAUAUCUAGGCAAUUGUGUUGUUGCACUGAUGCAAGCGAAACCUUGCACAUGCAUAGUAGAUGUAUAACCUGUGGAAGAAAAGCGUUUUAUGAACCUUAUUUUGUGGAAAAGUCACCAUACUUUCAAGCAGUUUUUAUCAGAUUUGACUGGUGAUUCUAUACAUGCAAUUGCCCAGGGGCAUUGCCAAGAUGGCUGCUGAGUGGUGAGACUUGCGCAUAAGGACUGCUAAAAAAUUGGGGGGUGUGAAGUUAAAAGAAGUGAGCUUAACAGAUCUCAGUGAAGCACUUUCAGUUUUGUCCGGGCUUGUUGUGAAAGUGUUGCUGCCUGUAGUUUCGGUUACGUACAAUACUUCUUGGAUGCAGACGAGAUCUAAUUGGCUGAAUUAAAUCUCAACCACCAAAGAAAGUUUCUGGAAGGUUAGCCAUCUCUUUAGCGUGUUAGCAACUUUGAAAGGCAACAAAGAAACUAGUCAGAAAACAUACAGCACAAACUUUUAAAAACAGCAGUGACAAGCUAUUCAUGACUCUAGUUUUCAUGGCCUUUUAGUGUCUGCAGGCUAGCAACCUAGCUUACGUGGACAGUUAUACACCAGUGUGGCUAGUUUUAAUAUGGAAGGUCAGCUAUGCUAACCAACUACCCCCAACUGACAUUGGACCUUUAGAGAAGCUCUGCAAUCCUUAAAAUGUUUGUGGAAUUGCAGCUUCAGUUACACAAAAAAAUCAACAACAGACACAAUACAAGUCUCUGUAUAUGGAAUAAACUGAGACGUGGUUCAAAAGUUAUAGGCGAAUGAAAAGCUACAACAAAGCUCUGAGAAGUGUGCUUUUGAUCGACAGACCCGCAUUCAUUAUUUAGAGCCUGAGUUCUUCUUUAAAUUAAAACACAUUAUAUAUUAUAAUUGAAAUAUGAAAGUGCUCUAGAAAUACAUUACUGUAGACUCAGAGGCAGUGGGAGGAAGCUUUGUCUGCUGCAUACUUUUCACGCUUGUUUUGUCCAUUAACACAUCCAUGACUCACUGAUGAGUGCACAAGUGUUUUUUCUUUUUUACAAAGAACAUUGAAAUGGCAGGACUCAAAAGAAAAAUUAGACAUGACUUGACCUUAAUGAUGCUAUAUUUUUUGCUAUCAACUAAAUUGAUUUAAUUGAGCUCAAGUUGCAUCUACAUAUUUGGGGUAACACUUUCUGUGUGGAUAUUCUAGAAGUUCAGAUAGCGGCUUUUGAGCAGAGCACUCAGACAAAAGGAUGUGUAACUGCCACAUCCUAUUUAAUCAUACUCGAUUAAAUAGGAUGAAGACGUACUGUGACAUACUGUGAAGACGUACUCUGAAGUAUGUCUUCACAGCCGGCAUGUAAACUCUUUAAUACCACCCUACGCUCUCUGAAGGGCCGUUUUUUUUCUUAAAACAGCCAACCACAGCACUAACAAGCCUUUAAAAGAACAUUAGGAAUUAUAAUUUGAGAACAUUAUGUGCUUAUUUCUCCAGGGGCAACUCUAGUAGCCAGAUUGUGCAUGGCUCUGUGUGAGGCUUUUUUCAUUGCUUCCCUCUCCACAAACAAAGUCACAACAGAGUGAAACAAUAACCUUUCUUACUGUGCAGCUGCAGCCUAUAUUUUUACACUGUGGUGAGUGGGAGCCCAGCGGACUAUGCUGGCAAGUCAGAAUCGUUCGAGUCACUUUUAGUCUUAAGCAUUAUUCCGACAAGGAAGACACUUAUUACCACAGUCAGGCAGUUUCCACUCAGUCAGAUCUCCGGACACCUGCCUGCCCUACAGGACAUUAUUCCAUAAAUGUAGCUUUGAAGCAGCACACUCUCACACGGAGGCCCAGUAAACACACAAACCAUGAGAUACACAUGCAUACAUAAAACAUACAUGAAUGCACGCCCAAAUGCACAAAAACAAUCCCUCAAAGACACACACAGGCUCAUAUGCACACACAGAAUGAGCACCGCUAUUGCAAAGCAAUCCCCAACCGCAGUGAGUCUCUCACAUCUCACCGCGGGAGGGUGACAAAUAUAUUUACUGCUUUUAGAAUGGAUCAGUCAUGGAGAAGAGCUACGCCGAGCACAGAGGCAGUAAAGCUACAUUACUUCAAACAGUGGCGUUUUCACACUGCUGACCACUUCUUCAACCACAGAUACUCCACAUCUGCUUGACACUUUUUUCCGAGUAGAUUUACAGACUAUAAACCGCGUUAAGCUACAUUUGACAACUAGAGGGCACAAUUGUAGACUCAGCUUCAACUUCAUCAUCAAUACUUUGAUUAUUUUUACCAAUUUCUGCCGAAAAUAACCGUUUUUUUUUUUUUUUUUAAAGGAGCAGACUGAUUUUUAAAUGGUUUUCACUCGCAUUUUAUUGACCCAUGCAUCCAAAAUUAAUGUUUGUUCUGAUCUUCUGUAUCAAAAAGACUACAGUGUGUGAGCACUGUAGGGCUGCAACUUGCAUUUAUUUUCAUUAUCAAUUAAUCUGCCAAUUAUUUUCUCGAUUAAUUGUUGUCUAUAAAAUGUCAGAAAAUGUAUCUAUGGUUCUGGAGAAAGUAAUUUCAUCUCAAUUGAUGUCUUUUAUUAACAGUAAUAGUGUUUUUAACAGUUUACAGUCAUCAGAGCACUUCAUAGUACAGAGAUAGCGCUUGUUAAGGUUACUAAUGACCUUUCGCUAACUACUGACAGAGGUGACUACUCGAUUUUAGUUCUUUUAGAUUUAGGUAUCGCAUUUGAUACAGUCGAUUUGGUCCCCUUAAUUCCAUAAGCACUGUUGGUGCUAAUCUUGGAUGUCUGUCAGAUAAUAUAAAGCAGACUACUAGGAAUUUAGGGGAAAUAUGUGGUGCUACGCUCCCUCCACCGACUCCAGUUGGUACAAAAUGCGGCUGCCCAACUCAUUACCGGGAUAAAGAGGCACAACCACACACCCCCGUGCUUGCCUCCCUACACUGGCUCCCUGUUAGAUUUCGAAUUGAUUUAAAAAUUGUAUUGCUCAUUUUUAAGGCCUUAAAUAGCCUUGCUCCUAAAUACCUCUCUGAGUUACUGACCUGUUAUGUGCCCUCUUGACCAUUGUGAUCCGCGGAUGGAGCCCUGCUGGUAACUACCAGAUCACAGUUUAUCACAAAGGGUGACCGGGCUUUCACUAUUAGAGCCCCCACACAAUGGAACUCUUUGACUACUGAACUCAGACACACCAAUUUUCCAGGGUCUUUUAAAUCUCUUGUUAAAAACCUCUAUUAAAAUUUCUCCUUGUGAAAGCUUUUGGAAGUGGUUGCCAUAGGUUUUUAUUACCUCUGCAAAGAAGGCUAUUUGAUUGUCAGCAGUAUUACACAAAACGUACUGAACUGAUUUGCACCAAACUUGGUGGAGGGAUGGGACAGGGGCCAGGGAAGAACCCACUUCAUUUUGGUGCAGAUCCAGGC